AGACCAAGGAAAUGGAAAAACAAGUGAAGUGAGGUGGCAAACAAACAACGAGAGAGAUCUACGAAGGUGUUUUAAUGAUGGGAACGGUUCAUUUUUACUUUUUGGGAUUUAUCAUAUGAAUGUAGUUCUU